CCUACGGGGGGCAGCAGUGGGGAAUAUUGGACAAUGGGGGGAACCCUGAUCCAGCCAUGCCGCGUGUGUGAAGAAGGCCCUCGGGUUGUAAAGCACUUUCAGUGAGGAAGAACGCCUGGUGGUUAAUACCCAUCAGGAAAGACAUCACUCACAGAAGAAGCACCGGCUAACUCCGUGCCAGCAGCCGCGGUAAUACGGAGGGUGCGAGCGUUAAUCGGAAUUACUGGGCGUAAAGCGCGCGUAGGUGGCUUGAUAAGCCGGUUGUGAAAGCCCCGGGCUCAACCUGGGAACGGCAUCCGGAACUGUCAAGCUAGAGUGCAGGAGAGGAAGGUAGAAUUCCCGGUGUAGCGGUGAAAUGCGUAGAGAUCGGGAGGAAUACCAGUGGCGAAGGCGGCCUUCUGGACUGACACUGACACUGAGGUGCGAAAGCGUGGGUAGCAAACAGGAUUAGAUACCACUGUAGUC
rnacentral:rRNA from 1 species